CAAUCUGCUAAUCUUCGAUACCGCUUUAUACUCACGGCCUUGUAUCCACUGACUGUCUUGUUAGAUUAAGCCAAAAAAUUUUAUUCACUCUACAUACUCAAUCCUAUAGACAUCCUUUUAAUUCUUCAAUCACAGACGUAACUUUGAUUUCACAAAACAGUCAAGAGUAAUCACACCCACUUCAUUAAAACUCCAAUUCACCAGUACAACACAUCGAACUUUCAGCAUUGAUCGCCAGAAGUCUUUCCAAAAUCCUAUGAAGAAAAAAAACCCCAAUUCUCUGUCUUUUCUCUCCCCGAAGCAUGAAGCUAGCUCUCUCC
rnacentral:lncRNA from 1 species